rnacentral:rRNA from 1 species
AUUGAACGCUGGCGGAAUGCUUUACACAUGCAAGUCGAACGGCAGCACGGGGGCAGCCCUGGUGGCGCGUGGCGAACGGGUGAGUAAUACACCGGAACGUGCCCGGCCGUGGGGGAUAACGUAGCGAAAGUUACGCUAAUACCGCAUACGAUCUGAGGAUGAAAGCGGGGGACCUUCGGGCCUCGCGCGCUCGGAGCGGCCGAUGUCAGAUUAGGUAGUUGGUGGGGUAAAGGCCUACCAAGCCGACGAUCUGUAGCUGGUCUGAGAGGACGAGCGGCCACCCUGGGACUGAGACACGGCCCAGACUCCUGCGGGAGGCAGCAGUGGGGAAUUUUGGACAAUGGGCGCAAGCCUGAUCCAGCCAGUCCGCGUGCAGGACGAAGGCCUUCGGGUUGUAAACUGCUUUUGUACGGAACGAAAAGGCUCUGGCUAAUACCUGGGGCUCAUGACGGUACCGUAAGAAUAAGCACCGGCUAACUACGUG